rnacentral:rRNA from 1 species
CCUACGGGAGGCAGCAGUGGGGAAUAUUGCACAAUGGGCGGAAGCCUGAUGCAGCGACGCCGCGUGAGGGAUGACGGCCUUCGGGUUGUAAACCUCUUUCAGUAGGGAAGAAGCGUAAGUGACGGUACCUGCAGAAGAAGCGCCGGCUAACUACGUGCCAGCAGCCGCGGUAAUACGUAGGGCGCAAGCGUUAUCCGGAAUUAUUGGGCGUAAAGAGCUCGUAGGCGGUUUGUCGCGUCUGCCGUGAAAGUCCGGGGCUCAACUCCGGAUCUGCGGUGGGUACGGGCAGACUAGAGUGAUGUAGGGGAGACUGGAAUUCCUGGUGUAGCGGUGAAAUGCGCAGAUAUCAGGAGGAACACCGAUGGCGAAGGCAGGUCUCUGGGCAUUAACUGACGCUGAGGAGCGAAAGCAUGGGGAGCGAACAGGAUUAGAUACCCUGGUAGUCCAUGCGUAACGUAGGCGACUAGUGUGGGACGAUCUACGUUCCGUCGCGUGCUACGCAUAGUGCCCGCCGUGGGAGGUACGGCCGGCGAGGACGUAAACGUUAAAGGUAAGUUAGUUACGGCGUGAGACGUGCCGACGGCGACGACGAGGGAGGAGG